AGCAAUACGUUAGUGGCGCACGGGUGAGUAACACGUGGGAACCUAUCUUUCGGUUCGGAAAAACGGAGGGAAACUUCCGCUAAUACCGUAUACGCCCUUAGGGGGAAAGAUUUAUCGCCGAUUGAGGGGCCCGCGUCUGAUUAGCUAGUUGGUGAGGUAAAGGCUCACCAAGGCGACGAUCAGUAGCUGGUCUGAGAGGACGAUCAGCCACACUGGGACUGAGACACGGCCCAGACUCCUACGGGAGGCAGCAGUGGGGAAUAUUGGACAAUGGGGGCAACCCUGAUCCAGCCAUGCCGCGUGAGUGAUGAAGGCCUUCGGGUUAUAAAGCUCUUUCGCACGCGACGAUGAUGACGGUAGCGUGAGAAGAAGCCCCGGCUAACUUCGUGCCAGCAGCCGCGGUAAUACGAAGGGGGCUAGCGUUGUUCGGAUUUACUGGGCGUAAAGCGCACGCAGGCGGUCUUUUUAG
rnacentral:rRNA from 1 species